ACACUACUCCCUCCGAUCCAUAUUAAUUGUCGAAAUAUUACAUGUAUAUAGACGCUGUCUAGACAUAAAUACAUUCAUAUUUGGACAAAUUUGAGACAAUUAAUAUGGAUUGGAGGGAGUAGUGU
rnacentral:pre_miRNA from 1 species